AAACAUACAUAACGGCCUCUGUGGCUCAGCGGUAGUACGCUUGUCUGUGACACCGGAGGUCCCGGGUUCGAAUCCCGGUCAGGGCAUGAUGAGAAAAGAACUUUUUCUGAUUGGCCUGGGUCUUGGAUGUUUAUCUAUAUAAGUAUUAAUUAUAAAAUAUAGUAUCGUUGAGUAAGUAUCUCGUAACACAAGUUUCGAACUUACUUCGAAGUUAACUCAAUCAGUGUAAUUUGUCCCGUAUAUAUUACGAUUAUCUAUCUAUAAUGCUACGGUAAAAUCACAUCUUAUAUAUCUGAUUGAGAUAUGGGGUACCGCCUCAAAAACUAGACUUGCCAAACUACAAAUUGCACAAAAUAAAAUUAUAAAAUUGUUAUUUCAUUAUCCAUAUCUUAGCUCUUGUACUAAAAUCUAUAAAGAAACCAAACUUAUGACUCUUCAACAAUUGUAUAAAUACCACACAUGCAUACUCGUACGUAAAGUAUUAAACAAGACCAUCCACACCUCGAUCACACUCACACAAACAAAACAUGUGACUAAGCGACUCACACGACGGGCUAGUUAUCUUGUUCUACCCAAAGUUCGCACAAAGUAUGGCAAGCGAAUGUUUACGUUUGAGGGAGCACAGAUUUUUAACAAACUACCAUCAGAUAUAAAAAAUAUCAAAUCUCUUGGAGCUUUUAAAAGCAAAUUAGCCCAGCAUAUUGUAAAUUUAUAGUUGUAACAAAAUAUUCAUUUAAUUUUUUUUUUUUUUUUCUUUUUAUUAAUUGUUAUUAAGUACAUAGUGAUCUGUUCUUUAUUAAGUGUUUUGAACAUUAUUAUCAACCUAAAAUUAAUUCUCAUGUAAGUGGCGUUGUAAAAGUCUUAAUGAGAAUAAAGUUCUUUAAACCGAUAUAUUUAUAUUUAUUACAUACAUACAUAUAAUCACCUCUAUAUCCCUUGCGGGGUAGACAGAGCUAACAGUCUUGUGAAGACUGAUAGGCCAUUUUCAGCUAUUUGGCUUUAAGAUAGAAUUGAGAUUCAAAUAGUGACAGGUUGCUAGACCAUCGCCUCAAAGAAGAAUCCCAAGUUCAUAAGCCUUUCCCUUAGUCGCCUUUUACGACAUCCAUGGGAAAGUGAUAAAGUGGUCCUAAUCUUUAUUCUAUUGGUGCCGGGAACCACACGGCACCAUACUAACAAAUAAAAAAAUUCCGUGAAACGUCAUAUAUGGAGGAAGCUCCAAUUAACUCCACCGUGCAAGAGUUAGCUCUUAAAUUCAAGAAGAAAGCUGCAACCAGUACCUACAACACACGCGAUAAUAGUUUACAUCAUAGCAAAGAGCUUUUUGUUGGCAUUAACUAUGCGCCCUACUUUCAGCCAAUCUCCAUUCUUUAUAAACCCAACAUUAUAUCCAGUGGACGUAAGCUAUGAGAUACAGCGGAAACAUGAUGGUCUAAUUUUCACUCAACUCAGAACUGCAUCUCAGCCAAAAACGUUUGAAAACAUUUCUCAAGAAGCUAACGCCAUAGAUAAUUAUUCCACUAAAUAGCGCGUAGCAUCUAGAAUAAAAUUACUAUUAUACAUAAACAUACAUAUAAUCACGUCUAUAUCCCUUGCGGGGUAGACAGGGCCAACAGUCUUGAAAAGACUGAUAGGCCACGUUCAGCUGUUUGGCUUUAUGAUGGAAUUGAGAUUCAAAUAGUGACAGGUUGCUAACCCAUCGCCUAAAAGAAGAACCCCAAGUUUAUAAGCCUUUCCCUUGGUCGCCUUUUACGGAAUCCAUGGGAAAGAGAUGGACUUGUCCUAUUUUUUUUAUAUUGGUGCCGGGAACUACGCGGCACAAAAUAAUAAGCCUAUUUUUUCUAAGUGUAAUCAUUCUAAUAAACAUAUAAAUACAUUAUGCUUAGGAUAAAAUUUUAUGCAGUCAAUCAAUCAAUAUAGUUUUAUUUACGAAGCAAUAAAUUAUUUAACCGCUGCCGCUUGUAUUUCGCGUCCGUAGGCUAUAAAUUGUGAGUAGCAUUGUUUAUGAUUUACUGUUCCCGUCUUCAUUACGUAACGCCUGUUAAGCAGUCUGGGUCGGCUACACAGACAUAGAUCUAGCUAGACCCUGCUAGUUUAUGAACUUGCGUGUCCGAAUUGUGUAUAUAUGACUUCUUAUCAAAAUUGUGUUGUUAAUGUUGUAAGUUAUUUUCAAUAAAAUUGGAUGAAAUUUGUAUGUGUCGUGAUUUGCUGUUUGCUUCAGUAUUUUUACCAAUAAUAUUUAAAAUCGACUUGUUUUGUUAAUUAUUCGAUAAUCGAUACAUAUCAUUUUAAUAAAUAUAAGGCAACAUUCCAAUAAUUGCACAACACGAACAUGUAAACAUUUGUUACCAAAUCAUCCAAUCAUGAAGCGUCGCGCCAUUUUAGAUCAGCCAAUAAGAUUCCAACCUGUUGUAUUUUUUAUUUUAACCAUUAAGCUUCACUUGUCAAAUGGAAUCAACAAAUCAGGGAAACUAAUUUUGAAUUUUUAGUCUAUGGUAGUCCGUACAUGAUUGGAGAUUGACCUUACCAAUCGAAGACAUUUAAACGUUUUUCGACAUUUCGUGUGAAACAAGUGGGGAUGACAGUUUUCCUUUUGGCAUAAAAUUUUUAGAAGUUUGUCUUGAUUGAUUAUCCAAGAAACAAACACGAAUGCUCGAGACGAGAGCCGUUGUAAUUAUUAUUAUAAGUGCUAAGAGUUAUUUGUUGAAAUUAAGACUCAAUAAACCAGUAUAUAAUCAAAAAGAGGUUUUAUUCGCAAAACUUCAGAAGUACGGAAGCGAGUCCAGACAGCCCACAGGAAAUUAUAAGGUAAUGGAGCGAAGGAAACAUCAGAGAAAAAAAGGAAAGGUCCUGCAUGUUCACUUUUGCAACACAAUAAGCGAGCAAAUACUAGUAUGAAAUCUAUAACCUCAAUGGAUAGGUGGGAGAUUGAAGAUGUGAGUCAAAAUUCGCCACCAAUUACCCUUAAUAACCAGUCGACGAUGGAGGAAUCUGACAGUGCAUUCUUCCCCGAAGAUGUUAUGAAGUUGCUUAUUAACUUCCAGAAGAAAAAGGCACAUUCUAGUAAUCUUCAUAACAAUCAGCUAAAUAACGUUAUACCGGAGUUUGAUCCAUAAAAUAAAAUGCAGUCUGUGGAUAGUUGGUUAAAUAAAGUUAAUGAAUGUACCGUGAUAUAUGAAUGGAACGAGAAGCAAACCAUACAUUUUUGUUUUACAAAAACUUGCUGGCCAGGCAAAAAAAGAAAUGGUAUGAAUCACUUCAGACAGUUGUAUAGGAAUGGCAGUUCAAAAUUAAAAAGGCUUUUCUCAAUGAGCAAAAUUAUGGUCGGCUACUCGAAGAAAUGUUAGCACGUACUACUAGGAUAAGCGAGAGUUUUUGCGAUUAUUUUUAUGACAAGCUUAGUCUUAUAAAUCGAUGUAAUAUCGUAGGAUAGAAUGCAGUAGAUUGCGUUAUACACGGAAUUACAGACAAGUCUAUUAGAAAUAGUGCACAAGCUUUGAAUUGUAAGGAACCAGAAGACUUACUGGGUUUUCUCAACUCCCAAACAAACAUCCGAGAUACCCUACAUUAAAAGGCGCGAAAUACUUAACAAGGAUUUAGGUGACCGAGACAACAACAAUCAGUCUACUUUAGAUAAGAAAAAAAAAAAUAAUUUGUUUUAAUUGCCGUACAGAAGGUCAUACAUUUCAAAAAUGUACAAAACCCUUAAUUAAAUGUCAAACAUGUAACAGAGUCGGCCAUAACGAUUCGACUUGCCGAAUAAAUCCAUGAAUGUAGUCUGAUGCGAGACUCUGAUGCAAAUAAGUUAUCUUUAGCUUGAAUAUACACUGAACUUCCCCUUAUUAAAGGAUUUGGCAACUUGACGGUAGUUCCCAAAUACAAAAGUUUUAUAUAGUUAAAGCUGGACGACAUAGGUCACCCGGGAAUAACAAAAACAGUUGAGAAAGUCCAAAGUCAAUUCUGGUUUCCUAAACUACGCCAUUUAGUACAAAAGUAUGUGAAAUCAUGUAUUGAAUGUGCAUACGAUAAAGACGAGGCGUGUCAUAAGAAAACUGGCCACUUAUUUCCAAUUGAAAAGGUCAGCAAACCAUUUCAUACAAUACAUAUAGACCAUCUUGGCCCAUUCACCAAAAAAAAAAAGGUUAUACUUAUGUGCUCACGAUUGUAGACAGAUUUACAAAAUACU